rnacentral:rRNA from 1 species
GAUGAACGCUGGCGGCGUGCCUAACACAUGCAAGUCGAGCGAUCUUCUUCGGAAGAGAGCGGCGGACGGGUGAGUAACGCGUGGGUAACCUGCCCUGUACACACGGAUAACAUACCGAAAGGUAUGCUAAUACGAGAUAAUAUGCUUUUAUCGCAUGGUAGAAGUAUCAAAGCUCCGGCGGUACAGGAUGGACCCGCGUCUGAUUAGCUAGUUGGUAAGGUAAUGGCUUACCAAGGCGACGAUCAGUAGCCGACCUGAGAGGGUGAUCGGCCCCAUGGGAACUGAGACACGGUCCAAACUCCUACGGGAGGCAGCAGUGGGGAAUAUUGCACAAUGGGCGAAAGCCUGAUGCAGCAACGCCGCGUGAGCGAUGAAGGCCUUCGGGUCGUAAAGCUCUGUCCUCAAGGAAGAUAAUGACGGUACUUGAGGAGGAAGCCCCGGCUAACUACGUGCCAGCAGCCGCCGUAA